rnacentral:rRNA from 1 species
GGUGACCUCGGAUCAGGCUGUAUUCCCC